GACGAACGCUGGCGGCGUGCUUAACACAUGCAAGUCGAACGGAAAGGCCCUGCUUUUGUGGGGUGCUCGAGUGGCGAACGGGUGAGUAACACGUGAGUAACCUGCCCUUGACUUUGGGAUAACUUCAGGAAACUGGGGCUAAUACCGGAUAGGAGCUCCUGCUGCAUGGUGGGGGUUGGAAAGUUUCGGCGGUUGGGGAUGGACUCGCGGCUUAUCAGCUUGUUGGUGGGGUAGUGGCUUACCAAGGCUUUGACGGGUAGCCGGCCUGAGAGGGUGACCGGCCACAUUGGGACUGAAAUACGGCCCAGACUCCUACGGGAGGCAGCAGUGGGGAAUAUUGCACAAUGGGCGGAAGCCUGAUGCAGCAACGCCGCGUGCUGGAUGACGGCCUUCGGGUUGUAAGCCGUUUUCGCCUGUGACGAAGCGUGAGUGACGGUAAUGGGUAAAGAAGCACCGGCUAACUACGUG
rnacentral:rRNA from 1 species